rnacentral:rRNA from 1 species
CUGGAGGUAUCAGAAGUGCGAAUGCUGACAUAAGUAACGAUAAAGCGGGUGAAAAGCCCGCUCGCCGGAAGACCAAGGGUUCCUGUCCAACGUUAAUCGGGGCAGGGUGAGUCGACCCCUAAGGCGAGGCCGAAAGGCGUAGUCGAUGGGAAACAGGUUAAUAUUCCUGUACUUGGUGUUACUGCGAAGGGGGGACGGAGAAGGCUAUGUUGGCCGGGCGACGGUUGUCCCGGUUUAAGCGUGUAGGCUGGUUUUCCAGGCAAAUCCGGAAAAUCAAGGCUGAGGCGUGAUGACGAGGCACUACGGUGCUGAAGCAACAAAUGCCCUGCUUCCAGGAAAAGCCUCUAAGCAUCAGGUAACAUCAAAUCGUACCCCAAACCGACACAGGUGGUCAGGUAGAGAAUACCAAGGCGCUUGAGAGAACUCGGGUGAAGGAACUAGGCAAAAUGGUGCCGUAACUUCGGGAGAAGGCACGCUGAUAUGUAGGUGAAGUCCCUCGCGGAUGGAGCUGAAAUCAGUCGAAGAUACCAGCUGGCUGCAACUGUUUAUUAAAAACACAGCACUGUGCAAACACGAAAGUGGACGUAUACGGUGUGACGCCUGCCCGGUGCCGGAAGGUUAAUUGAUGGGGUCAGCGCAAGCGAAGCUCUUGAUCGAAGCCCCGGUAAACGGCGGCCGUAACUAUAACGGUCCUAAGGUAGCGAAAUUCCUUGUCGGGUAAGUUCCGACCUGCACGAAUGGCGUAAUGAUGGCCAGGCUGUCUCCACCCGAGACUCAGUGAAAUUGAACUCGCUGUGAAGAUGCAGUGUACCCGCGGCAAGACGGAAAGACCCCGUGAACCUUUACUAUAGCUUGACACUGAACAUUGAGCCUUGAUGUGUAGGAUAGGUGGGAGGCUUUGAAGUGUGGACGCCAGUCUGCAUGGAGCCGACCUUGAAAUACCACCCUUUAAUGUUUGAUGUUCUAACGUGGACCCGUGAUCCGGGUUGCGGACAGUGUCUGGUGGGUAGUUUGACUGGGGCGGUCUCCUCCUAAAGAGUAACGGAGGAGCACGAAGGUUGGCUAAUCCUGGUCGGACAUCAGGAGGUUAGUGCAAUGGCAUAAGCCAGCUUGACUGCGAGCGUGACGGCGCGAGCAGGUGCGAAAGCAGGUCAUAGUGAUCCGGUGGUUCUGAAUGGAAGGGCCAUCGCUCAACGGAUAAAAGGUACUCCGGGGAUAACAGGCUGAUACCGCCCAAGAGUUCAUAUCGACGGCGGUGUUUGGCACCUCGAUGUCGGCUCAUCACAUCCUGGGGCUGAAGUAGGUCCCAAGGGUAUGGCUGUUCGCCAUUUAAAGUGGUACGCGAGCUGGGUUUAGAACGUCGUGAGACAGUUCGGUCCCUAUCUGCCGUGGGCGCUGGAGAACUGAGGGGGGCUGCUCCUAGUACGAGAGGACCGGAGUGGACGCAUCACUGGUGUUCGGGUUGUCAUGCCAAUGGCACUGCCCGGUAGCUAAAUGCGGAAGAGAUAAGUGCUGAAAGCAUCUAAGCACGAAACUUGCCCCGAGAUGAGUUCUCCCUGACUCCUUGAGAGUCCUGAAGGAACGUUGAAGACGACGACGUUGAUAGGCCGGGUGUGUAAGCGCAGCGAUGCGUUGAGCUAACCGGUACUAAUGAACCGUGAG